UACGUAGGAGGCGAGCGUUGUCCGGAAUUACUGGGCGUAAAGCGUGCGCAGGCGGUUCGCUAAGACAGAUGUGAAAUCCCCGGGCUUAACCUGGGAACUGCAUUUGUGACUGGCGGGCUAGAGUAUGGCAGAGGGGGGUAGAAUUCCACGUGUAGCAGUGAAAUGCGUAGAGAUGUGGAGGAAUACCGAUGGCGAAGGCAGCCCCCUGGGCCAAUACUGACGCUCAUGCACGAAAGCGUGGGGAGCAAACAGG
rnacentral:rRNA from 1 species